AAGCGAAUCCAAAUUUCACCAAAUCUCGUUGGCCGCCAUCCAUCUUCGUCGCCAUAAUUCUUGAGGCGCAAUCCAAUUUCGCGAUAUUCAUCAACCUUUCUCUCUUCCUCCUCAUCCUCCUUUUUCUGCCUCUUCUAAAACUCCUUGGUCUUUUUCCGCUGCCUCGCUUGCCAUUCCUACAUACACACGAGAAAACUCACAAAUAGAAGAGAAGCGCAAGAAAUUUUGGAAUGGAUAGAUACAUCAUCGUAGUAUUCUUUUGGAAGGCUAGGUGGGUCGUGGAGCGCUGGAAAUUUGAAGAAUCCCCUUGCGAUAGAAAGACUGAAGAUAGACAGAGGUGGAUGGCGGCCGGCGAGAUUGGGAUGGAGGAGAAGCUGCCGGUUUCUUUGAGUUAGGGAAUUAGGGAUUUCUUUUCUAAUUUUAGUGAUAUUAGGACUUUUUUGUGUGAUUUUGUUAUUAUUUAAUAUUAUUUGAGUAAUUUAAAAUUAAUAUAUAUUCCACGUCAA